AGAUUGAACGCUGGCGGCAUGCCUAACACAUGCAAGUCGAACGGGAGUAGCAAUACUCUAGUGGCGGACGGGUGAGGAAUACGUAGGAAUUUGCCCUUAAGUGGGGGAUAACCCGGGGAAACCCGGAUUAAUACCGCAUGACCUCGAAAGAGCAAAGUGGGGGAUCGCAAGACCUCACGCUUUUGGAGAAGCCUACGUCGGAUUAGCUAGUUGGUGAGGUAAUGGCUCACCAAGGCGACGAUCCGUAACUGGUCUGAGAGGAUGAUCAGUCACACCGGAACUGAGACACGGUCCGGACUCCUACGGGAGGCAGCAGUGGGGAAUAUUGGACAAUGGGCGCAAGCCUGAUCCAGCAAUGCCGCGUGUGUGAAGAAAGGCCCUGGUU
rnacentral:rRNA from 1 species